CAAAUCAAGUGUAUAGAAUAGACCAUUAAAAGAAAAACUCUGACUACAUUAUUUUACUCUAUUCUUUUGAUUGUUAUCCAAUAAAUUGUUUGACGUCCUACCAGUCUUAUCACAAGGAGGAAAACGUUAGAAUCAAUAACUAACAACCGUUAUCUUUAUUGUACAGUAUGUUUACAUUCAUACUCUCAGUACACACAGAGAGGUCUACCUGAUAAGACUUGUACAUACUGAUUACCGACUUACGAGAUUCUACCAUGUGGAGGGCGGUUCUUGUUGUCUUAUUAGGCCUACUUCUGAGCCAACAAGUAUCCUGUCUGCCCCGGCCGGUAGCCGUACCAUCGCCUUCUGGCCGAGCCGACCCUGCCAUUUCCGCAUAUUACGCCCCUGCAGGCCCUGCUCCGGGACAUAAUUAUGAAGAAGAGCUUUUCUUGAGAAUGGGAAUAUAGUUUUAGUUAUUUUUUAACUUAUAACAGUUAAUAAUAAAUACUGUUGUAUUA